rnacentral:lncRNA from 1 species
CCAGCAGCAGCAGCAAGAGCAGAGCGGGAUAACUGGACCAGCUACAUAGAAGACGGAGGGGGAGGAGGGAGGCUGCCGUAGUGCCGCCAGCACCACUGCCGCCAAGGACACAAGCGAUGGGUAUGAUUACCGACCGGGCCGAUUGGGUGGUGCCUAUCCGGGGAGACGUAAGCAGUCCCGGCGGCACACACCUCACGGCUCGCCUGGCGACACAGCUGCAGUGUGGGCCUACUGAGGAGAGGGGAAGACACCUGGUAGCUACUUCACGUGGGCUGCGGCAGAUCCCCCCUCCGGACUCAGACCUGUUGCAACCGGCCCACAGGGAAAUCAUUUCCAGGGCGACCCAGGCCCGCUUAUGGUCCAGUAUAUGACGGAAGAAGCAAACUCAACAGGUGCAGGUGCAGGGCCCCAGGCAGAGGCGGAUUACAGACUUCUUCACGCAGGCCGACGGUGCGGGACCAAAGGCGGGGCCUGCACUGUACGUGCCGGGGGAUGAGGACCAAGCACAGGGGCCAAACACGGCAACAUGGGUGACAGGAGCCGCGGCGGCUGUGGCGGUAGCGGCUCCGGUAGCAACCUCCGAAGGGCGGG